AUUAGAAUUGUUGGGUCUUAUGGUAAUUCUUUAACCUCUUUGAAGAAUUGCCUGGAUGUUUUUAUUUUUUCAGGGUGGCUGUACCAUUUUACAUUCCCACUAGCAGU
rnacentral:pre_miRNA from 1 species